rnacentral:rRNA from 1 species
AUUGAACGCUGGCGGCAUGCUUUACACAUGCAAGUCGAACGGCAGCACGGGCUUCGGCCUGGUGGUGAGUGGCGAACGGGUGAGUAAUAUAUCGGAACGUACCCAGAAGUGGGGGAUAACGUAGCGAAAGUUACGCUAAUACCGCAUACGAUCUAUGGAUGAAAGCAGGGGACCGCAAGGCCUUGUGCUCCUGGAGCGGCCGAUAUCUGAUUAGCUAGUUGGUGAGGUAAAGGCUCACCAAGGCGACGAUCAGUAGCUGGUCUGAGAGGACGACCAGCCACACUGGAACUGAGACACGGUCCAGACUCCUACGGGAGGCAGCAGUGGGGAAUUUUGGACAAUGGGCGCAAGCCUGAUCCAGCAAUGCCGCGUGAGUGAAGAAGGCCUUCGGGUUGUAAAGCUCUUUUGUCAGGGAAGAAACGGUAGAGGCUAAUAUCCUUUGCUAAUGACGGUACCUGAAGAAUAAGCACCGGCUAACUACGUG